UACGAGAGGCGCAAACGUUAUUCGGAAUUACUGGGCUUAAAGAGUUCGUAGGCGGCGCAGAAAGUAGGGUGUGAAAGCCCUCGGCUUAACCGAGGAAUUGCGCUCUAAACUACUGUGCUUGAGGGACCUAGAGGUGAGCGGAACUGAUGGUGGAGCGGUGAAAUGCGUUGAUAUCAUCAGGAACACCGGAGGCGAAGGCGGCUCACUGGGGGUCUUCUGACGCUGAGGAACGAAAGCCAGGGGAGCGAACGGG
rnacentral:rRNA from 1 species